UAGUGUUAUUAAAUCUACGAAUCAUACGAAAAUAAAUAAAUACAAAGAAGAACAAAAAAUUAAAGAUGACAAGCACAUAGCAUUCAAUACGAACGAAGAAGAUUUAUCCAUAUCAAUAAUCAUUAACUGAAUUCACACUUUGAAGCUAUCUGAAUCAUUCAUAUCCAGAAAAUAGGUAGAUUUGCAAAUUAAUUACCAAGAAGAUACUAAAGUAAGAAACGAUUAAUCAAAAUUUAUAUGGAAUCUAAUACUAUGAAGAAUGAGUGUUUUACUAUACCGAGUGGUGAAUCGCAAACGGAGGCAGAUUCGAGGACGAGAAACGCGAACCUGACGAAGAUAAAAGGGAGGACGAUAGCGAGCAGCAGCAGCAACAGUAACAACGUGCGACUAGAGAAUCUCCGCGCUGCUAACGCCGCCGCUGCAGCCGCACAUCCUCCGCUUCCUUUACCGAUUCCGACGCCGGGAUUUGAUAUCAUCUCUGAUCUCCACUAUCAGUUCAUCAAAAACAACAACCAAAACCAACAGGGAUCGAGAAGAAGAAGAAGCUCAAUGACGAAGAUGUGAUCAAAAGCAAAACGCGAAUCCAGUAGGUCGAGAGGGACUGUUUGGUUUUUGAUCUGUACGACGGGAAUAAAAAACAACAUUCAAAGAGGAAUGAAUUUUUCUAAAGAAGCCAAGCGGACAUAUGCUUACCAAAAUAAAUGCAUUUUUGUAAAAGAUAAUAUUUCACCAAUAUUAUUCCUAUCAUAAUAGUCACGAGUUUGUGAAAAUAAUUAGUAUUCUUUUAAAAAAGCCAAAACCAAUGCCGCGUUCAUCUCCGCGGGAAUUUAGCACAUAGUCUAUAAAUGUUUUGUGUAUGUAUGUAUAGAUGUAUAAAUUAAUCAUGUGUAGUUAAUAGGGUAAAACGAAUUAUGGAAAACUUUACGAUAACUAAAAUAAAUAUUUUACUGGUAAAUGGAAAGAG